rnacentral:rRNA from 1 species
UACAGAGGUCUCAAGCGUUGUUCGGAUUCAUUGGGCGUAAAGGGUGCGUAGGCGGCGCGGUAAGUCGGGUGUGAAAUCUUGGAGCUUAACUCCGAAACUGCACUUGAUACUGCGGUGCUCGAGGACUGGAGAGGAGAUCGGAAUUCAUGGUGUAGCAGUGAAAUGCGUAGAUAUCAUGAGGAAGACCAGUGGCGAAGGCGGAUCUCUGGACAGUUCCUGACACUGAGGCACGAAGGCCAGGGGAGCAAACGGG